rnacentral:rRNA from 1 species
AUUGAACGCUGGCGGCAUGCUUUACACAUGCAAGUCGAACGGCAGCACGGGGGCAACCCUGGUGGCGAGUGGCGAACGGGUGAGUAAUGCAUCGGAACGUGCCCCGUCGUGGGGGAUAACACAUCGAAAGAUGUGCUAAUACCGCAUACGACCUGAGGGUGAAAGCGGGGGACCGCAAGGCCUCGCGCGAUGGGAGCGGCCGAUGUCUGAUUAGCUAGUUGGUGGGGUAAAGGCCUACCAAAGCGACGAUCAGUAGCUGGUCUGAGAGGACGACCAGACACACUGGGACUGAGACACGGCCCAGACUCCUACGGGAGGCAGCAGUGGGGAAUUUUGGACAAGGGGGGCAACCCUGAUCCAGCCAUGCCGCGUGCGGGAAGAAGGCCUUCGGGUUGUAAACCGCUUUUGGCAGGAACGAAACGGUGCGGGCGAAUACCCUGUGCUAAUGACGGUACCUGCAGAAUAAGCACCGGCUAACUACGUGCCAGCCGCCGCAGUAAUAC